ensembl:lncRNA
GUUUGUCAGAUCUGAAUCAAUUCAGUAAUUUUAAAUGCAUGCUAUUUACAAGAGUUUACCUAGAAGUUGAUCAUCAGUUGUCUCAUAGAUAGUAAAGGAUAGGGAAGUUUGAGAAAUUCAUCAAUCUUUUACUCUCCCUCAAAAAGUUUUCUCAUUCAUAACUAAAUCCAUUGUAUGUAGCCUCUGAUUUGGGGCUCAGUGUCUCUGGGUAGAUUUCUAGGUUGCCAUGGUGUUGAAGUCUUGUGGCAGUGAUCCUAAGCUGUUUUAGCUGCCUUUUGCCUUGAGCUUUUCAUAUUACUUGGUGUCUAAUUUUUCCUUAUUAUGCACACAAGUCCUGGUUUGUUUUUGUAAUUAACUCUUAAAGGUUAUAUCUCUGGCUGCUUCCUUCUGAAUGUCAACAGUUGACUCUCACACCCUCAUGUGGCUGCUAAAGAUGUCCCAGUUUCCGGCAGCAGGGAGACAGAGUGUGAUCUCUAUCCACUUAGAGAAUGCUAUGCCAGUAAAGCUUCGUUCUUGAAUUUCAGGGUGAGCCUGGUGAAGCAAAGGUAGUUAGCUUAUUAAGUAAAGGCAGAGAAGUGGGGAAAGGACAAGGACAGUACACAGUCUCAAGGCUCCUUGAGAGUUGAAGUUAAAUUAUGUACAUCUACAUAGAUGGUCCCUGGCUUUUUAAACUGUGUCACAAAGGAUUACAACAAGAAUUAGUUGAGUUUUCAUGUUUAAAAUUUUAAUAAUUAUUUGAGCAGGUUUACUUAUUUUACAUCUUUGAGAAUUUUAUUUGUGUAUAUGAGUACAUUGUCACUGUCUUCAGACACAGCAGAAGAAGGCAUCAGAUCCCAUUACAGUUGGUCGUGAGCCACCAUGUGGUUGCUGGGAUUUGAACUCAGGACCUCUGGAAAAGCAGUCAGUGCUCUUAACCGCUGAGCCAUUUCUCCAGCCCAGAGGAGUUUCUAUGAGAACUGGAAAAGGCUGCAUCGUGAAUGAAAACACAGUGCAGAGUGGGACCCGUGUUGCUCUCUGGAUAGAACAACAAGAGUGGCGCCCCAAGAAGAUGGAGAGUGACGUUUUGGGAGUUUCCCAUUGGAGCAAAGUGAGAGAAAGAUGGAGUGAAUGAGGUGUCUUUAUUUUGUGAGGGAUACAUAAACUGCUUCUCAAGGAUUGGAGAUUUCUACGUAUUACUCCUUUUUAAAGAUUUCUAUUUACCCGAUUGACAAACCAGAUCAGGGUUUUCAUUGAAUUCUGCUACAUGGAUAAAGGGCUCAAGGGCAAGGGAUAGCACCAGACGUGCUAAUUAACUGAGUGAAAAAGUACAACAAGCAUUCCCUGAAGUAGCUCCUGCUGUUUGUCCAACAGGGAAUUUUUCUCAUGGGAGAUGUUUGGCACAGGGAUGUUUCUCUUCAUGUAACUCUUCAGCUCACCAGACAAGUUGAACUUAAAUUUUUAUGGUCUUGUGAGUUAGUCCGAUAAAUGAAGGAGCAAGAAAGCCAACACCCAGUUGGCAAGAAUAUGACCUACUGACUGACAGCCAUUAAAAAACUCGAUUCAAUUGGCCUGAGCUUUUCUGUAUUCUAUUAAAAAUGAAAUUUCCCCCUCAGUGAAAGUAACAUGAUCAACAUUUUGAAAGUUAUGAACAUGCACAAUUAUAUAAGCCUUGAAGCAAUGACUUGUAAAAGUAUGGAUACUCUUCCUGUAAGCGGCCAGAGGUGACCCGUGGUUCAUGACUCUCUAGACCCACAAAACCAUGCAAAUUAAUAGACUCAAACCGUUAUGUUCACAUUAAGUUUAAUAUAAGUUCUACAUCGAAUAUGUACUUCUGGAUUUAUUAUUGUACAAAUUGGACUUAACAAAUUUUUAAUAUAAAAUGUAUUAUACACCAUACAUUAAUAGUUAUAUAUCUUGUUUCUUGAGAAUUAAUUUCUACCAAUUAUUUCCUUUUGAAUACUUGCUGUUGAAUUAUUCUCAAUAUACUUGUACAAAUUCCUGCCUGUAACUAGUAAAUGUGGAUAUUUCAUUAAACAAUUACUAUAUAACAUUCUCUGGAAGGUUCUGCUAAUAAUCUCAUCUGUGGUCCUAUACAUUGUUAAAAAUAUAUAGUUGCAUAUCUUCCGUUCCUGCAGAAUGCUUUUGUAGCUGCCGUUUUCUGCAGGGGGUCUGUGUUGCCCUGCCUUUUUCGUGAUUUGCAAAGUGGAAUUGAGUAUUGCUAUCGUGCCAAGCAGUAGGACGUCUUACAUAAUCAGUCCCUUUUUACUCCUAUGCAUGGGAACAACUAUUUUGAUCUAUAUACACAGCAAAUGUUUGAAAUUGAAAUAUGUCAAAUCAUAUACUGUGUUUAGAAUUAGGAGUCUGGCUGCUUUCGCUUCUUAAAUGGACCCAUUAUUUACCCAUGCUGGUGAGUUUUACACGAUUCUCUAAUUGUUCAACAUGUGGGAUCGUUCUACUUCUGACAGUUACGAGCAAGGUUCAUAUGUACUUUUAGGUAUAAGGUUUUUAAGAUUUAGAUUAAUUGUCCUUAGUUCUAUGUAUGAGUUCUUGUGCUUAUAGAGGCCAGACGCUUAAGGUAUCACAUUUCUUCUGAACCUGGUGUUAUAUAAAUAUUUGUAAGGUGUCCAGCACGGGUGAAUUUCUUUUUCUUUUGGUGUUUAAUUCUUUUCAUGUUCCCAAUAUGAAUUCUGUCAGAGGACCUUCCGUUCUUUAUUUCCUUUGCUGUACUUUACACUUUGAUGUGAUCCCAUUUGUCAGACUUUGCUGUUAUUUCUUAAGCUAUUCCUUUUCAGAAAUUAUUGCCUUUGAUUUUAAUGCAAAGUAUUCUCCAUUUUCCUUUACAAGUUGUAGUUUCUGGAUUUACAUUAGGGCCUUUUAUCCAUUUUGCACUAUUCUUUGGAUAGCGGGAAAAGCAGAGAUAUUCUGUAAGUGGGUAUCCUACUCUUUCUUUGGGAACUUUGUGUUGAAAGCGGAGAGACACGCUCAGUGUUUACAGCCCAGCCCUCGCAAUAGGCUCCCAUCGUGAUUCAGCAAAGUUGGUUCUCACUUUGGUAAGGGAGCUAAGGCAUAGGUAUGGCUUUUAAACAUACUAGAUUGGUGCCCGUGGUACCCAUCUAGGCAAUUUGCCAAAUUCAAGGUGAAAGGAAAAGCAUCUGAAUGUGACAGAGCCAGUGACAUGCCCACCAAGUCUCAGAAUUAUUACCAGAAUACACCUUGUGGUAAAGGUGCCAAGGCAUGGGAUUGUUUCCAGUGAGAAUUAACAAGCACAAUAGUUUGUCACUAUGAGCAGGAGUGGAAGCUGAAUUCACCAUGGCAGAUGCCUAUGUCAACUAUUUUAAUAAAUCCAUUCGUGGGGGUAGCUUGAGAGGUGGCUUGUAAGCCCUUUGGUGGAUUCCCAGCACCCUGUUUUGGCUUCUGCAUGGAAUGUGCACAUACAUACAUGGUGUACAAACAGACAUGCAGGUAGAACAUCUAUAUGCAUAAAACAAAACCAAUCAUAAUGCUGAUGUUUUUUUAAGAAGGUUUUCUACAUCCUUGUGGUCUCCUGAUCUAGUAUAGUCUGAAGUCUGAUAUUGGUAUUGGUCAUUGGUCUGAUGAUUGCCUUGGCUCUUUUCGUAUGAGUUGCAAGAUUUUACUCCAGUUAUUUGAUGAAUAUCAUUCAAAAUUUCUUGAGAAUUUCAGUUUAGAUGAGGACAUUAAUAUGACUUCUGUUUAGUGUUGGUCAGUGUCUAAUGUAUUAAUCUGGUUUACAGUUUUCAUUUCUAAAGUCUUGGUUAGGUUUGUUUGCAUUUUGACAUUUUAAAUUCGCUUGUGAAUGAAAUUCUUAGUCUUUCUCAUCGUUUUCAGUAUUUGUUUACAGAAAAGCUUCAGGUGGCAAUGGUGUGGGCCUCAUUUCUCUAGCUAAGGAUUCAAAGCUAUUGACUAGAUAGUGUGAGGGUGGGCAGCCCUAUGACAUUCUUUAUUGUUGAGAAAACAGUUUCAGGUAGACUCCAUUGAACGUUGUGUUCACUCUGCAUUAUAUAUGGCACUUAGGCUGAGAUAAUAUUCUUCUUAAAGAAGUCAUUGUCAGCAUCAAAGAUGAUCAUGUGAUUUUUCUGGCCUUGGUUCUAUGCAUGUAAUAUAUUUCAUUUAUUGUAUGUUUAUGAAGGACAAAAUAGUGUGCAUAUUCAGAGAAUGAGCUUGAUGAAGUCCUUAGGGUAGAAUUCAGUGAGUGAAAGUGCUCCUGAGCUUUUCUUCAGUUAGAAGACAUCGCCUGGUUGAGUGGUUGUCUAGCAUCCUGUAUCCCCAGCACUCAGAAUAGUACCAGAAAGAAUAGCAGUCAUUCUCUAGUUCAUAGCCAGUAGAAUCCUUAACCAUAACACCCUUUCUUAAAAACGUGUGUUUGUAUGUGUGUGUGUGUAUGUCCCAAACAACACAAAAUUCAGUCGUAGUUAAGCAAACAAUUUUGGUGGUAAGGGGAAAUACUUUAUCCUGCUCUUCAUUUAUUAUUUCCCAUCAACAAGUAAAUUUGAACAGAGUUUGUUCCUUUGUCUAAUUCAGGACAGUGUGUGGUUGGUUUCAGCUCUCCUUUUGAUGUUGGAGUGUAUUGCUGUAAGCUUCCCUUUUUAUAAAUGCUUUUCCUCUAUAUCAAAGCCAGAAAUGAGUUGUGUUUACAUUUUGAUUUAUCUCCAGAUAGUUUUUGCUUCCCUUUUGAUUAUUUCUGUGACCCACUGAUUGGUCAGGAGUAUGUUGUGUCAUUUCCUUGUAUUUGUAAUUUUUCCAAACUUCCUGUUAUGAUUUCUUAUUUCAUCACGUUAAGGUCAGAAGCAUUACUUUAAAUUAUUUCAAUUUUCCUAAAUUUGUCGAGACUGUGGAUGAUCUUCAAUGUGAUCUACAGCAAUUGUUGUAUUUGUUGAUAACAUAUGUAUGCUUUUAGUGGUGGAAUGUUCUGGAUACUUUCGUUUCUUUUGCACUUGCGUUGUUCUUUCAGUAUUUUCUUGCUAAUUUUCUGCCUCUGCCCUAUCCACUAUUGAAUGUGACAUCUACUUGCUUUAUGUGUUUACAUCUUGGGAGCAUAGGCAUUUACUAUAUCUUCAUGGGCUUCUUCUUUGUCUCUUGUGAUAGUACUGACUUAACAUAUCUCUUUGCUUUUAUUUACAAUUUAUAUCAAGUAUCUUUUUCCAUCACUUCAUCUUCAGUAUAUGUGUACCCUCUUAGCUGUAGAUUCUCUAGUCAUUGAACACAGCCACUGAGCAAAGCUUCAGAGAUGCUCAGUUGACCUUACAGAGCUCAAGACUGGAUUCAGCCAUGCACGCGAUCCCCUGCCACAAUGAGAUGAUGCUCACUGGAUAAUUGCUCCAAAGCCAGAGGAGGAGGUGGUUCCACAGACGAGAAAGAUGAAGACAUAGAAGACACUGAAGACACAAAAAUGUAUGUCAUAGGAAUCGAUCCAGCACAAAAUAAAUGCAGAUAAGUUUUUUUAAUGAGAGAGAAAGCUCAACUGGCUGAGAAGCACUUAAAGAAAUGUUCAACAUCCUUAGUCGCCAGUAAAAUGCGAAUCAAAAUGGCUAAGAUCAAAAUCUAAGGUGCCAGCUAAUGUUGGCAAGCAUGUGAAAAGAGGAACACUCCUCCAGUGCUGGUGGGGUUGCUUCUGUGAACCCCCUGCCGCCGCCUAGCAAGGUAUUAUGGCGUGGACUUUGCCUUCAGGAACACUGUGCUAUGGACAUUCACUGACAAUACCAAGACCCAAAUGCCUGCGUGCUGCCAGCCAGCUGAAGUAAAGACGUUCUAUUGGCCAUGAACUGUGUCUGACUGGUCAGCUGGGUUGGGGCCUCCCCAUCACAGAUGCAAGUAUUGAUUCUUGAUUUCAUUAUUUUCUCUGUUUUCCUGCAGCUGACUGAGCUUCUUUAAGAUAGCUAUCCCGAAUGCUUCACAGGUAAUACACGAACCUACAUGUUCAGAGGGUGCUGGGACUUUAUUUUGUGACUCUGAUAGUUUCGUGUUUUUCCUGACUUUGUGGCCUUUGCAACUGUCCAUUUGGAGAAGUAGCCACCUCUUCCAAUCUUCACAGAUUUGUAAAUCUCUACAGGACAAAAAUCAACCUU